rnacentral:tRNA from 1 species
GCCGCCGCUAGCUUGGGAAUUGCGGGCAGCGUGAUUUUUUGAAUCUCGGAGCCGGGUUUCUUUCCUGUGGCGACU